rnacentral:rRNA from 1 species
GCUGGAGUUACUAGUAAUCGCAGAUCAGAAUGCUGCGGUGAAUGCGUUCCCGGGUCUUGUACACACCGCCCGUCACACCACGGAAGUUGGGGGCGCCCGAAGCCACUUAGCUAACCCUUUGGGAAGCGAGUGUCGAAGGUGAAAUCAAUACCUGGGGUGAAGUCGUAACAAGGUAGC